UAAGUCCUCCAUACCUUCCGUAUUCAAAACACAUGUGUGUGUUGCAUGUCCUCCAUACAAUGUGCGUCUUGUUCAUAUAUUACCCAUUUAGGUUCUUUAUUAUAUGACAUAUCUCCUAGGAAAUAUUUCUUUUCAGGUCUUUUCAUUUUGCUUUAUCCAUGUUUGUCGUGAUUGGUCUCUUAAUCUAUACUUUCUUUUUAACUAGGCUUCCUUUGGUUAAAGGUACUUGUGGUUUUGGGUGCUUAUAGAUUUGUAAUGGUCUCUGUUAUGUAUAUGUCACUACCACCUAAACAUCCUCCAGGUCACUACUAUAUUAUACAGCCUUUUACCUUAAGGUUGAUGAUGAUUCUUUAGUGAUAUUUUGUUUGAUACAAGUUUAUGGUUUCUAAAUCUUUUACUCGACAGCAAAGAGCCAAAGAUAUAUAUGAACUUAUGCUUGUUUCUUUGGGAGCUUUAUAAUUUAGAGAUACACCAGAGACAAAAGGUCUUGCAAGCCUUAUUAUGUUCUGUACUGGUUGGUAUGAUUGGGAUCAUUGGAUUUCUGCAUAAGGUAAUGCUGAACACUUUUGCUUUAAUACAUACCCUAUAAAUUUUAUUUGGUAACUAAUUCUCUCUUGUUCAGUGGGAUGCGGCAUACAAAACUUUAGCACUCCUAAUUACUAGCUUCUGUAAUAUAGGAUCACUUUCCAGUUCCGUAAAUUAGCUAGUUUGAUAGUUCAGCUUUAGGUACAUAGGACAAGUAGCAGUGGUGUGUGCAUCUUUGUGAUUUACAAGGAUCUUUAGCUCUGCUGCUUCUGUUUCCAUAUUUUAUUAUGUGUUUUCUUCUUUUGGCAAAUAGUUCAAGUCAUUCUCAAUUUGUGAGAGAAUCACCAUCUUCGGUACGUGAUUGCAUAUUCUGCUUGUUUAAAUGAUUGCAUAUUCUGCUUGUUUAAAUGAUUGCAUAUUUGUUUUGUCCUUUUGGGAUUUUGAUUUUGCCGAGUGAAUAAUAUGGUUGCAAGUAAACCUAGCUUCUGAUCGAUUCUGUAUUUUCCCUACUUUUUAAAGUUUGAUUUGUAUAAUUAUAUCACCUCUCUGCAUAUCUAAUUGAUUAGUCUUCUUUUGGUCGACUAUUGUGCAUAUAUUUGUGCAUGUUUAAUAAUUAAAGGCUGCAAGAGUUUUCAAUCACAAAGUCAGUCCAUUUUUUUUUGUACUUGAGGUUCAUCAAUUGAUAAGUCUUCUUUUAAUCUUCCCUCUGUUGGCACAACACAUCGGCAAUUAAUUGCACCAUUUUCAUAAUACUGAUUCCAAAUGGAUAUAUUGAACAUGGAUGGAAUUCUGGGCGUCUUAUUCUCUCAACUCUUUCUUCUUCCAAUCCUGUUGAGCUACUAUAACUGAUAAUAGCUUCAAUGUCUUUGAUAGCUCCAAAUCUAUUGUUUUAAGCUGUAGUUGACCUCCGGCUAUGCUAGAUUACUUUAUAUCUGAGCAGAAGGAAGCAUAUGAUGGCCUAUGAGUUCAUUUUAUCUUAUGCAUCAGAUAAGUAUAUAUACUACGUUUUAUCGAGUAUAAAUUAACAUCCUCUCAAGUAUGGCAACCAUAAAAUAAAGGCUGCUAUAUAACUCUUCCCCAUCUGUUUGUUCUCAGUGCAAAGCUUCUAGCUUUCAUAUUCUCUCCCAUUGUCUCCUUCAUAUUCUGUCUCACUUAACACAUUUAUUUUUUCUCUUUCUUUUUCCUCUUGGCUCUGCCAUUGUAAACCACUGCCAGCAGUACCCAUCUUAUCCCAGAGCCUAAAUGAUAAUACGUCUCCAUCUUUGAAAGUUAUUUCCUUGUGUGUUCAGCCUUGUUUUGCAAAUUAUGCCUACUUCAAAAGCUUUGAUUAUUUCCUUGGCAGUUGAGAAUUCUUUGUAAGGAGGUAUGCCAGCUGCUUCCCUAGAAGUUAAAUUAGCUGUACAUAUUGAUAGAUCAAGCAUGCUUCUUGACUUCAGAAAGAUAAAGAUCCGACAAUAAGAUUCUAUUAGAAACAAGGCUUAUUUAUAAAUUUGGGAAGCAAUAAGCUAGAUAUUCUUCCAGCAGUUUGAUAUUAUACUUGUGAUUGACGAUCUUCUCGUAGAAGCAUGUCUUCAUAGUAAUAAUACUUGGUGAAGCUUUUCAGGUCUCAUACUUAUUAUACUCUAUUAUGUUUCCUGUUUUGCUAUUUUGACAGGAUAAAACUUCAGGCUUCCCAGGGGCUUCAUCUGCUCAGCCUGCUUCUACUAAUGGAGAUUCUGAAACACAUGCACCUUGAUCCCUACUACUAGCUACUACUUGUAAGGUCCUGGAAGAAACUUUUAUUUGUUUUUAGUUUGGUAUUGCUCUCGUACUAUUUCUAUUGUUAUGGAUGAUGCUAUUUUUCCUAUGUAUUAAGAUUAUGCAGUUUGAAUUCAAUAAAUUACUCAAAUCUUCACUAUG